UGAAUCUUCGUUAAUUACUUUCACUGUGUUGUUACAGAAAAAUAAUGUGAAUGCUUUAUAUGCAGUGCCAAAAUAAUAUCAUUAUUAUAUAAUAAUAAUAAUAAUAAUAAUAAUAAUAAUAAUAAUAAUAAUAAUAAUAAUAAUCAUAAUAUUAUUAACGUAUAUACUUGGAGUAUUUCAAACAUGAACAAGCCAGAAAGAUCAAAGAAUACUGGAAGUGUUCGGCAAUGUAUAGCCGCAAUCAUUGUGAACCUGGCGACGGUGUCGAGCGGCAUAAACAUAGGCUGGCCAUCGCCGAUAAUCCCUCAGCUGCGGCUGGCAGCGCCGCCGGUAGGCAAGGCGAGAAUAACCGAGGAGCAGAUAUCCUGGAUAAGCAGCUUGUUGCCGAUCGGCGCCCUGAUGGUCGUGCCGUUCUCCGGGCUGCUGAGCGAGAGGUUCGGCCGCAAGGGCUUCGGCUACCUGGCCGCGGUGCCGUCCGCGGCCUCGUGGUUGCUCGUCAUCUUCGGCACCAGCCACGUCCACUUCCUGUACGCGGCGCGGCUGGUGGGCGGGAUGGGCGCCUCCAUGAGCAUGUACAUCGCGCCGCUGUACGUGAGCGAGAUCGCGGGCGAGCAGGUGCGCGGGGCGCUGGGCAGCCUGCUGCUGCUGUCGGCCAAGUUCGGCAUCCUGUUCGCCUACGUGGCCGGCUCGCAGCUGUCCUACCGGCUGUUCGCCGUGCUGUCGCUGCUGUUCCCAGUGGGCUUCGCCGCGGCCUUCCUCUUCGUGCCCGAGACGCCCGUCUACCUCGUGCGCAGCGGCCGGACGGCCCAGGCGGAGCAAUCGCUGCUGUUCCUGCGGGCGAACGACCGCGAGCUCGCGCAGCGGGAGCUGGCCAGGCUGCGGGCCGAGGUGGCGGAGGGCGGCGGCGGCGGCGGCGGCGGCGGCGGCGGCGGCGCGCCCGGCCUCGCGCGGCUGCUGCGGGACCGCGGCGCGCGCCGGGGCCUGCUCGUGGCGCUCGGAGCGAUAGCCGGCCAGCAGCUCAGCGGGAUCCUGGCGAUGGUGAGCGGCGAGCCGCGGGCGGCGCGGCGCAGCAUCGCGCGUCACGGGCCGUGCGUCUGCUUGCAGAUCAGCUACGCGGAGCCGAUAUUCGCGCGGGCGGCCCCGGCGCUGUCGGCGGAGAACUCGGCGAUGGCCGUCGCCGCGAUCCAGGUGCUCGGCUCGUACGCGGCGACGCUGUCGAUGGAGCGCGCGGGCCGCCGGCUGCUGAGCCUCGUCUCGUGCGCGGGCAUGGCGCUGUGCCACGCGCUCAUCGGCUCGUUCUUGUGCCUGCACGAGCGCGGCUACCACGUGGAGCGGCUCUCGUGGCUGCCGCUCGCGGCCUUCUCCGCGUUCAUGGUCUCGUACUGCCUGGGUAUGGGCCCCGUGCCCUUCGUCAUCACCUCGGAAGUCUUCCGUAACGACGUCUCCAGCCUCGCCAGCACGCUCUGCUACGUCUUCUUCUGGGCGAUGGCCUUCGUCGUCGUCAAGAUGUUCGCCACUCUCGACAGCCUGCUCGGCGGUGGCUGCUUCCUCGUCUUCGCCGGCUUCUGUCUCGCCUCCUUCGUCUUCUGCUACUCGCUGCUGCCCGAGACCAGAGGUCGCACGCGCGAGGACAUCGUUCGCCAACUGGCCGGGGUCGCCUCCCCGCCGAGCGACGCUCGCGGCCUCGCUGCGAGAAGCGGCCACGAGGUCGAGCUUCUCGUCGUGAAGCCAGCUUAAAGCUGCGAUUCGUGCCUGCAACGAUCCAUUGUUAUCCGUCCGUCGGAAUCCUGUCCAAUUUUUCUUACGAAAGGACAACGUGCGAAACAAAUUAAACAGUGUUGUAGAAAAGCCAUUAGAAAGAAGACAUUUCCUCAGCUCCUACCAAUACUGGAGCAGAUUCGAUUUGCUACAGCGAAGGCUAACUCUUUCCUUCCGUGCUAAUAGAAUAUAUGCUUAUUUUGCUGAUGCAGAUGCUCUAUUUUUAAUUUGUUACGAACAAAUUUAGUAGUUAGUAAGUGAGUUCUGAAUUACCGUAUAAAAUUGCUGUAAUAAUUAGGCUCCACACAAUGAUUCGCUCAUUAUGACUGUCGUCCGAUACUUAAAUUUAUUAGCACAUUUAUAAAGUUGGCGCAAUAGCUGGGAGUUUUAAUAUGUUACCAGAAGCAAAAAAAUCAUUGGAUGGCAAGCUGAGAAUAACUGAAACGUUAAAAAAAAGGCUUUGUGUUACUGUUUGCGAACAAAUGAACAUGCGAUAUCACAAAUGUUUUAAAUCGUUUCAAGUUGAACGAAUAUUUACUCUAAUAAGAAUGCGAACUUGUAAGAGGUAUUGAAUGAAGUGUGAGCAGCUGGUCUAAAAAUUUUACGAGGCUUGGCAAAUGAAAUCAUUGUAACUGACACAUAUAAAUAAUCUCGUUUAUUGUAUUUGAUGUUUUUUAGUCACUUAAAAAUCUGUAAAACAGUUGCUUACAAGUUUGUCAAACUAAAAGCUAGAUCGGUGCCAAUUACUACAAUAUGAAUAAUUAAUAAAACAAUACUAUUUCACAAUCUUACAUAUUUUUAUUAUUUAAAGUUAACUUAAAACCAUUGCGGCAAACGUAGUAAAAUUAAUAGCAACUUUUAUAAUGAAAGUCCGUCUAUUCACAUACAAAAUUAUGUAAAUUCUUCAUAUCCUCGUUGUUAUAUUUCUAUAUAAUAUUUAAAUCAAACGACAGAAUUAUACAGCAUUAGAAUUUGAAAAACUUACUAAAACCAUUGUAACUUUAAUCUUAAAUAGGCGAAAGGGAUUAGUGUAAGGUAAUUCAAUAUAUACCCAGAUGCUGCCUGCUUAGCACCGUUGUCAGUAAAUUCGUUGUCUGCAAUUCCCCAGUGGAAAGAGAUUCAUACAAGUUUUACUAAAUUAUCAAGUUCUUUUUAACAAUGGAGCAGAUUAGAUUUAAUUUGUAAAAUGAUACGAGAUGAAAAGAGCUACAGUUGCUGCGGUGUGGACAGAGGCUGAGUGAGAAAUCUUAUUUGAGAAUAUGGAUCUGUCAUUGAGACACCCAAUAGCAAAACCAACGUGUGGCAGCUAUCGUUUGUGAUAAUUUUGAAUCUAUGAGUAUAAAUUAUCAAUUUAAUUUUGCUCAAUGUC